rnacentral:rRNA from 1 species
AGCUAAUACAUGCAAACAGAGCUCCUACCGGAGACGGAAGGAGUGCUUUUAUUAGAUCAAAACCAAUCGGUGGCGAGUUCACGCUCAUCAUCGUUCAACUUGGUGAUUCUGAAUAACUUUACGCUGAUCGCACGGUCUCGCACCGGCGACGCAUCUUUCAAAUGUCUGCCUUAUCAACUGUCGAUGGUAGGUUCUGCGCCUACCAUGGUUGUAACGGGUAACGGGGAAUCAGGGUUCGAUUCCGGAGAGGGAGCCUGAGAAACGGCUACCACAUCCAAGGAAGGCAGCAGGCGCGCAAAUUACCCACUCCCGGCACGGGGAGGUAGUGACGAAAAAUAACGAUACGGG